rnacentral:rRNA from 1 species
GAUGAACGCUGGCGGCGUGCCUAAUACAUGCAAGUCGAGCGAACAGACGAGGAGCUUGCUCCUCUGACGUUAGCGGCGGACGGGUGAGUAACACGUGGAUAACCUACCUAUAAGACUGGGAUAACUUCGGGAAACCGGAGCUAAUACCGGAUAAUAUAUUGAACCGCAUGGUUCAAUAGUGAAAGACGGUUUUGCUGUCACUUAUAGAUGGAUCCGCGCCGCAUUAGCUAGUUGGUAAGGUAACGGCUUACCAAGGCAACGAUGCGUAGCCGACCUGAGAGAGUGAUCGGCCACACGAGAACUGAGACACGGUCCAGACUCCUACGGGAGGCAGCAGUAGGGAAUCUUCCGCAAUGGGCGAAAGCCUGACGGAGCAACGCCGCGUGAGUGAUGAAGGUCUUCGGAUCGUAAAACUCUGUUAUUAGGGAAGAACAAAUGUGUAAGUAACUAUGCACGUCUUGACGGUACCUAAUCAGAAAGCCACGGCUAACUACGUG